CUCCUGUGAUGAGCUCUUUGAGCCUUUGUGUCUGGGCCACUGAUGUUCUGUGAUGGUAAUGAGGAUCUGAGGGG
rfam:Chaetura pelagica isolate M959 contig3745, whole genome shotgun sequence.